AUACAUGCUGUGAGCAAUCACGUCGUGGUCCUAGUGGCGCACGGGUGAGUAACACGUGGGUAACCUGCCCUCGAGACCGGGAUACCUCUUCGAAAGGGGAAUCAAUACCGGAUACGCUCCUCGGGUCGGAAGACCUGGGGAGGAAAGGUGGCGCAAGCUGCCGCUCUUGGAGGGGCUCGCGGCCUAUCAGCUAGUUGGCGGGGUAACGGCCCACCAAGGCGAUGACAGGUAGCUGGUCUGAGAGGACGACCAGCCACACGGGGACUGAGACACGGCCCCGACUCCUACGGGAGGCAGCAGUGGGGAAUCUUCCGCAAUGGGCGAAAGCCUGACGGAGUGACGCCGCGUGUGGGACGAAGGCCUUCGGGUCGUAAACCACUGUCAGUGGGAAAGAGGGGCGUCGGCGUGAUAAGCGUCGGCGCUUGACGGUACCUGCAGAGGAAGCCCCGGCCAACUCUGUGCCAGCAGCCGCGGUAAGACAGAGGGGGCAAGCGUUGCUCGGAAUUACUGGGCGUAAAGGGCGCGUAGGUGGAAUGGCAAGUCGGUCGUGAAAGCCUCCGGCUCAACCGGAGAACGUCGAUCGAUACUGCCGUUCUUGAGGGUCGCAGAGGAGACUGGAAUUCCCGGUGUAGCGGUGAAAUGUGUAGAGAUCGGGAGGAACACCGGUGGCGAAGGCGGGUCUCUGGGCGACUCCUGACGCUGAGGCGCGAAAGCGUGGGGAGCAAACGGGAUUAGAUACCCCGGUAGUCCACGCUGUAAACGAUGACGACUAGGUGUGGGGGGGUUCAGUCCCUUCCGUGCCGCAGCUAACGCAUUAAGUCGUCCGCCUGGGGAGUACGGCCGCAAGGUUGAAACUCAAAGGAAUUGACGGGGGCCCGCACAAGCGGUGGAGCAUGUGGUUCAAUUCGAUGCAGAGCGAAGAACCUUACCUGGGCUUGACAUGACGGAAAGUAGGAACCGGAAACGGGGGACGACCUUGUUGAGUCA
rnacentral:rRNA from 1 species